GGGUGCAUGGUCUAGUGGUAUGAUUUUCGCUUCGCAUCUUUCCCAAGACGCGAUUAAAACUGUGAACGGUCCCCGGUUCAAUCCCGGGUGCAUCCA